CGAGGAAGAGCCGUGGUUCAUGGUUACAACGGGUGUGUAGCAGCAAAAAGGCUGUUUCCAAUCAAGCCUGGCAAUUUUAAAAACGGCCACAGCUCCCUGUGAUAAAUUCACUGAACAUCAGAGAAGGAACCACACCUGUCGGAGGAUGUUGGAACUGCCCUAAACAGCCUCAGGCACGAGCAGUCCGGUGCCUGGAACCCGGCCCAAUGCAUCACAGCCACCUCCUACGUUUGUUGACAUCACCGGUGAGUGAUGGGUGAGGAGCAGACAUGAAGAGAGCACACGCCCUGCCCGAGAGAAGCCCUCAGUCCACAGACACGGGGAGGAAUCUGAAGAGGCGUGUGGACCGCAGAUGCAAGUUGCAUCAACAGCAAGAAGGAAGGGCCUUCUAGGUGGAGGGAACACCUCCAAGGCUGCUGUGUCCAUGGGAUUCUCCAGGCAAGAAUACUGGAGCAACUAGCCAUUUCCUCCUCCCGGGGAUCUUCUCGAUCCAGGGCUCGAACCUGCAUUUCUUGUGUCUCCUGCAUUUACUGGUGGAUUCUUGGCCACUGUGCCACCUGGGAAGCCCAGAGAGAAGCAGAAGGCGUCACAGUAAAACCCUGUAUCUGGCUGAACGAGGGUAAGAGGAUUCAACCUGCACCAGAUUUUCCGGAGAAGCUUCUGGGGUCGGGGGUGGGGUGGGUGCCCAUCUAGCCCCGCCUCUAGAUCAGCCUACAGACUGUGAGGUGGUACACCGGCUGGACACUCGGGCAUCAGCCCGCCUGGGUCCCAACACGCCACUAACCCACAGCCACUCAACAGUGGUGGCCGGAGAUCCACUGGUGACAGGUGCAUUCCAGCAGUGAGGAUGCAGCGGAUAACUCCACAGAGAGGGGUCACCUCACAGGACUUCUGUUUCAAUGGAGGCUGACCAGCAAUGCGCCAAUGAGCUCAGAGAGUGAAAACGCCUCUGCGGAAUGAUGGCAUGGAGUCCAGGGGUCAGACAGUGACAGGGACAGGUCACCACGGGAGGCAGCAAGCCGAGAUGUCCCAGCAUGUUCUCUCACCACCAAGUGCAAGGACCAACUGUAGCUGAUGCCCGAUGAAUUCCUGAGGGUCUGAUCCAAGAGCAGUCCCGCGGCGCUGGCUGGACCCACAAUGAGGAGCCGCCAGGGAUCCUGGCAGAAGCUCGCAGAAGUAGCGGACACUUGGUUUCAAGGAUCCUCUGAUGCUCUGAGAGGCUGCACAGGGCCCAGAGGUGGCGGGAGAGCAGUGGACAGUCACCGAAGAGCCGGGCUUGGGCCCGGGACACAAGUAGCCAUCAAGGGGGCCGGGCAGGAGGGAUGCGUGAGCCAGGAUGACGCAGCUGCUGACACCACCUUGGACCUGGAACCGUGCGCUGCGUCCUGGCUGCUGGGGCCCCAGAUGGCCCACCUGGUCCCUAGACCUCAUGGUGGCAGGUGACCUCCCGACUGCCAAGAUUCCUAUCAGUUGCUUUCUCAAUAUGGGUAGGAAUUAGCUGCUCGGCAGACCAAAGAGAGAAGAAACCCAACCAUUCAUCGCUGGAGGAGUUUCUGUCUUUCGCAAUGGACAAGUUUACUUUAUUGAACAACUACUGCCUACAGGGUACUAUUUAUUUUCCCCACCCCUACUUCAGCCCCCACCAGAAAGCAGCCCCUAAGAGGGCCUGGGGGGCGCACAUAGGGCAAUUUGGCACACAGCCCUAUUCACAAAAGGUCUUCAGUGUACGCUUUUGACGUUACUCAGUUUUUUAAAAAAAUAUAUGUAUUUGGCUUCGCCGGGUCUUUGUGGCAGCGUGCAUGAUCUUUUUUAGUUGCAGCACAUGGGGUCUUUGAUCUUCGUUGUGGCAGGCGGAAUAUUUAGUUGCGGCAUGUGGGAUCUAGUUCCCUGACCGGGAAUCGAACCCCAGGCCCCCUGCGUUGGAAAGGUGGAGUGUUAGUCUUGGACCACCAGGGAAAUCCCUGACAUUAUUCAGUUUUUUGAUUUUGAAACUCAGCAAGGACUCUGGAGCCAGGCUGCCUGAGUUUGGAUCUGCCACUUACUAGCUGCGUGACCGUCACUGAGGUGCUGUUUCCUUGUCUGUAAAAAGGGACUGUCAGUAGCUUACACUAGUCACAAGAAGCCACAUAUUGAAUGAUCCCAUUUAUAGGAAAUGCCCAGAGUAGGUAAAUCCAUAGAGAUAAAGGGCCUCCCAGAGAGCUCAGUGGUGAAGAAUCCGCCUGCCAAUGCAGGAGACACAGGAGACGGGUUUGAUCUCUGGGUCGGGAAGAUCCCCUGGAGGAGGAAAUGGCAACCCACUCCAGUAUUCUGGCCUGGAAGAUCCCAUGGACAGAGGAGUCCGGAGGGCCACAGCCCACGGGGUCACCAAGAAUCAGACACGACUGAGCAGGCAUGCUCGGCUCAGCACGGCACAGUCUAACGUGGUGGAAGGGCUGGGAGCUCCGCUGCACGAAGUCACUCAGAGACUCAGGAUCCGUCUGUCUAACGUCUUCGUCCUUCUCUGGUGCCUUGGAGUCCUCUCAUGGGUCCACUUCAGCCAGCCAGAUUCUGAGCAGGCAGAUAUACAGACAAAAAGCAGAUGCCUGGUUUCCAAGGACUAGGAGGAGGGACGCAAAUGGGGAGUGACAGCAAAUGUGUACAGAAUUUCUUUUAGGGAUGAUGACAAUAUUCUAAAAUUAGAUAAAGUUUAAAGAGUUAUUACUUGCACAAUGCUUAGAGCAGAACCUGACACACAGAAAGUGAUUCAUAAGUCACUUUUUUUUUUUCCCCAUAAGUCACUAUUAAGUAAAACUCACUUCCACAAGAAGGCAUUCACCCUGUUGAGCUUGGGGAAGCUAUGCUUAUAACGUGAUUUUAAAGUGAUAUCCCCUUCUUGAACCUCACUGUCUGUUGAGUACUUUUUGUAAAUCCUGUAACUUAUCUUGUGGAUAGCAUCAUUCAUUCAUUCAUUUUACCAUAUUGGUGCCCUUCCCCCCUCCAUAAAUGGGUGGUGACUCUAGGCUCUGAAUGGCCAUCACUUCCGGUGAGCUGUCCCUGACUCAGCUGUAGACAAAGGAUCUAAAAGGCAACAAAAGGUGAGACUGUCACACAAAGGCAUUCAGAAGGAGAGUUGGGGAUGAGGUGUGUGGCCUUUAUUUCAGUGGUAUAGGACUAGGAAGAGAUGACUUCUAAGUUGUGUGGUCUCUUUAUUUGCUCAGAGCUGAAUUAAAGUAAUGCAACCACAGAAAGGAUUCAGGUCAGCAAGGAGCAGUCAUAGGGACCUUAUGGAGGGUGCCCGAUGGCAAGACCAAUAGUGCACAUAACAAGUGGUUCUGUAGGGGGGAGAGAGCUCUGACUGGUACUGUUUGCCAAUUUCCAUGGUGUAAAUACUCAAGCUAUAGGCAUGAUAGCACAGGAGUUAGAGUUGGCAAGAGGACUUAUAUACCAUUUCUACUGGACAGCUAUGAUAGAUAUAAAUAACCCCAAAGCAUAGAUAACAGUAAAUGUAGUAACAUAAUUGACUGUUUAGAAUUUGGGACUUUUGCUUUUAAUAACAACUUUGAGAUAUAAUUCACAAACCACCAAAUUCACUCCUUUAAAAUGGAUUUUAGUAUAUUCACAGAGUUGUGCAAAGAUCACCAUUAUUUAA